rnacentral:rRNA from 1 species
AGUGAACGCUGGCGGUAGGCCUAACACAUGCAAGUCGAACGGCAGCACAGUAAGAGCUUGCUCUUACGGGUGGCGAGUGGCGGACGGGUGAGGAAUACAUCGGAAUCUACUUUUUCGUGGGGGAUAACGUAGGGAAACUUACGCUAAUACCGCAUACGACCUACGGGUGAAAGCAGGGGAUCUUCGGACCUUGCGCGAUUGAAUGAGCCGAUGUCGGAUUAGCUAGUUGGCGGGGUAAAGGCCCACCAAGGCGACGAUCCGUAGCUGGUCUGAGAGGAUGAUCAGCCACACUGGAACUGAGACACGGUCCAGACUCCUACGGGAGGCAGCAGUGGGGAAUAUUGGACAAUGGGCGCAAGCCUGAUCCAGCCAUACCGCGUGGGUGAAGAAGGCCUUCGGGUUGUAAAGCCCUUUUGUUGGGAAAGAAAAGCAGCAGGUUAAUACCCCGCUGUUCUGACGGUACCCAAAGGAUAAGCACCGGCUAACUUCGU